AAAUGAAUAGACGGGGGCCCGCACAAGCAGUGGAUUAUGUGGUUUAAUUCGAAGCAACGCGAAGAACCUUACCAGGUCUUGACAUGCCACGCAUACCCCAGAGAUGGGGGAAGCCCUUCGGGGCGUGGACACAGGUGGUGCAUGGUUGUCGUCAGCUCGUGUCGUGAGAUGUUGGGUUAAGUCCCGCAACGAGCGCAACCCUUACCAUUAGUUGCUACGCAAGAGCACUCUAAUGGGACUGCCGUUGACAAAACGGAGGAAGGUGGGGAUGAUGUCAAAUCAUCAUGCCCUUUAUGACCUGGGCUACACACGUAAUACAAUGGCGCUUAACAGAGGGAAGCAAAGCCGCGAGGCCCAGCAAAACCCUAAAAGGCGCCCCAGUUCGGAUUGCAGGCUGCAACCCGCCUGCAUGAAGCCGGAAUUGCUAGUAAUCGCGGAUCAUCAUGCCGCGGUGAAUACGUUCCCGGGCCUUGCACACACCGCCCGU
rnacentral:rRNA from 1 species